GACGAACGCUGGCGGCGCGCCUAACACAUGCAAGUCGAACGGAGUCAAGAGGAGCUUGCUUUUCUUGACUUAGUGGCGAACGGGUGAGUAACGCGUGAGUAACCUGCCCUGGAGUGGGGGACAACAGUUGGAAACGACUGCUAAUACCGCAUAAGCCCACGGAUCUGCAUGGAUCUGCGGGAAAAGGAUUUAUUCGCUCUAGGAUGGACUCGCGUCCAAUUAGCUAGUUGGUGAGGUAACGGCCCACCAAGGCGACGAUUGGUAGCCGGACUGAGAGGUUGAACGGCCACAUUGGGACUGAGACACGGCCCAGACUCCUACGGGAGGCAGCAGUGGGGGAUAGUGCACAAUGGGGGAAACCCUGAUGCAGCGACGCCGCGUGGAGGAAGAAGGUUUUCGGAUUGUAAACUCCUGUCGUUAGGGACGAUAAUGACGGUACCUAACAAGAAAGCACCAGCUAACUACGUG
rnacentral:rRNA from 1 species